rnacentral:rRNA from 1 species
AUGACUGCUGAAGGGUACCAAGCUGUUAUGGACGGCUUACUUGCUAGAAGGGGGUUGGUGUAUUCCCGUGUGCAGGUGAAGAACCAGAUAGUCGUACUCAAAAACACCCACUCCUUUUGGCGAUACAUGCAAGUGCACACAGGGUUGGGGAGGAAACCAGAUGGAACCAUUGAUGCCGACUCUGAGUUCUGGAUAACACACACAAAGAAGAAACCAUACCUAAGGAAGUUGCAGUGGGGUCCUCCAGCAAACGAGGAGUUGCUUGAUCAACUGUUCAGAGGUUGCACCAUGGAUGGAAGCACAACCUUUGUGCCUGGAGAUGAUUAUGGUCAGACUCAAGGGCAAGAUGCAGGGGCAGAAGAGGAGUUUCAAGGAAUACCUACAAGUACAAGCAACAAGAGGAGCCAGAGGGGCAAGAGGUCAUUAAGAACUUCAAGCACUUUGACUAGUCCAUUGAAGAAGAGCAAGAGCCCAAUGGUGAAAAUUGUCAAGGGCAUAGCCAAUACCUACAAGGAGUCUGUCGCAGCCAACACUAAGCAAAUGCAGAAACGUGCAAAUGAGAAGGUUGCAUUUUCUGUGAAGAGGUGUCAGGAGCUGGCAUUUGAGUGCGGUGUUCAGCAAACAGUUGACUCUGUCUAUGCUAUGUCCAAGAUGUUCGAAACGGAGUACCAAAGGGAGUUCUUUUGUGGCCAAUUAACUCCUGAGCUUAGGUUGGGUUACUUCAAGAAAUGGUGCAGAGACAACAAUUUGGAGUAG